AGCGAACGCUGGCGGCAGGCCUAACACAUGCAAGUCGAACGAAGCCUUCGGGCUUAGUGGCGGACGGGUGAGUAACACGUGGGAACGUACCUUUUGGUUCGGAACAACUCAGGGAAACUUGAGCUAAUACCGGAUGAGCCCUUAGGGGGAAAGAUUUAUCGCCGAAAGAGCGGCCCGCGUUAGAUUAGCUAGUUGGUGAGGUAAAGGCUCACCAAGGCAACGAUCUAUAGCUGGUCUGAGAGGAUGAUCAGCCACACUGGGACUGAGACACGGCCCAGACUCCUACGGGAGGCAGCAGUGGGGAAUCUUGCGCAAUGGGCGAAAGCCUGACGCAGCCAUGCCGCGUGAAUGAUGAAGGUCUUAGGAUUGUAAAAUUCUUUUACCAGGGACGAUAAUGACGGUACCUGGGGAAAAAGCCCCGGCUAACUUCGUGCCAGCCGCCCCGUAAAAC
rnacentral:rRNA from 1 species